AAGCGCCCCGCCUGGGGAGUACGAUCGCAAGAUUAAAACUCAAAGGAAUUGACGGGGCCCCGCACAAGCAGCGGAGCAUGCGGCUUAAUUCGACGCAACGCGAAGAACCUUACCAAGGCUUGACAUAUACAGGAAUACGGCAGAGAUGUCGUAGCCGCAAGGUCUGUAUACAGGUGGUGCAUGGUUGUCGUCAGCUCGUGUCGUGAGAUGUUGGGUUAAGUCCCGCAACGAGCGCAACCCUCGUUCUGUGUUGCCAGCAUUUAGUUGAGGACUCACAGGAGACUGCCGGGGUUAACUCGGAGGAAGGUGGGGAUGACGUCAAAUCAUCAUGCCCCUUAUGUCUUGGGCUGCACGCAUGCUACAAUGGCUGGUACAAACGGCUGCAAUACCGCAAGGUGGAGCGAAUCCGAGAAAGCCAGUCUCAGUUCGGAUUGGGGUCUGCAACUCGACCCCAUGAAGUCGGAGUUGCUAGUAAUCGUAGAUCAGCAACGCUACGGUGAAUACGUUCCCGGGGCUUGUACACACCGCCCGUCACAUCACGAAAGUCGGUAACACCCAAAGUCAGUGCCCAACCGUAAGGAGGGAGCUGCCAAA
rnacentral:rRNA from 1 species